AUUUGGAAUGAAUUAUGAAAGCCAACAAUGGGGAUCAUGCUUUAGUGAUGUGUAGCAGAAAGGGUGGAUCCAGAUUUUUCGAUAAGAGGGCUAAAAGUUAAGAAAAUCAGUACAAGAAAUAAAUCGUCGAAAGGGCACUAAAAUCCUCUCAUAUAUACCUCAUUUGUUGUGUAGCUUGCCUGCGAAGCAUGGUUCUAGUGGUAUCUUUUAUUGUGCCCCUUCUGAUUGCAAAUACUACAUUUCAAUCUCUUCUUGCCGUCACCUCUCCUAUCAAUCUUCUUCAUCUUCUCUUUGGACAAUACAACUUCCUUAACCCCUCUUCGACGCUUUAUCUGCUUCCUUCCUCUUUUUUUGGUUACCGAAGUUGGAGGCUUUAUUGGGUUGAAGCCACUUGAAGGCCACAUUUUUGGUCCAUUUAUAGGGUAUAUGCAAUUCCCGUAAGCUUUUAAGUACGUUGUAACUUUAUAGCACUCAUCCACAAACUAGAAAGGAUCCUUACCCCACUCGCGGACGUUGGCUAUUGCAUGUGGACAAGGCAUACUAGUUAAAUCCCACUUUCUACAUGAGCAUGUACUUCUUUGUAAAGAAAGGAAUCACGUGUACAAAUUUCAAGUUUCUUUAAAAAUUUUGGACAUAUAUUGCUAGAACUCCUUGCCAUCAUCUGCUGCUUCUAACGACACUAUCCCAUUCUUCAUAUCGAGUUCAAUAUUCUGGAUAACAUUUUCCUCAAAGAGAAUGUCGUCUUCUUCGCUAAGGCUAUAAUCAGAAUCAUUGAAGG
rnacentral:lncRNA from 1 species